rnacentral:sRNA from 1 species
AUAGCAAUUAGACGCGGACCGCUUAUAUUUGGAGGAUUUUAUGAGGGGUUGUUGAAGUAGAAAAGCAUGGCGAUUUGUUGUUCCUGUUUCCCUCGAGCCUUGCUGGGCCCUCAUCUGAAAUGGAGACGUCAGCUCCACCGGGCUUCAAGGUCUUUGGCGCUCCCAACGUGGUGGAGGAUGAGAUUGAUCAGUACCUCAGCAAACAGGACGGGAAGAUUUACAGAAGCCGAGACCCACAGCUAUGCCGCCACGGCCCUUUGGGGAAAUGCGUGCACUGCGUCCCUCUAGAGCCGUUCGAUGAGGACUAUCUAAACCAUCUUGAGCCUCCCGUGAAGCACAUGUCCUUCCACGCCUACAUCCGGAAGCUGACUGGAGGGGCUGACAAGGGGAAAUUUGUUGCCCUGGAGAACAUCAGCUGCAAGAUUAAGUCAGGGUGCGAGGGGCACCUCCCGUGGCCAAACGGCAUCUGUACUAAGUGCCAGCCGAGCGCCAUCACGCUGAACAGACAGAAGUACAGGCAUGUGGACAAUAUCAUGUUUGAGAAUCACACCGUCGCUGACCGCUUUCUUGACU